UACAGAGGUCCCAAGCGUUGUUCGGAUUCACUGGGCGUAAAGGGUGCGUAGGCGGGUCUUUAAGUCAGGGGUGAAAUCCUGGAGCUCAACUCCAGAACUGCCUUUGAUACUGAGGAUCUUGAGUUCGGGAGAGGUGAGUGGAACUGCGAGUGUAGAGGUGAAAUUCGUAGAUAUUCGCAAGAACACCAGUGGCGAAGGCGGCUCACUGGCCCGAUACUGACGCUGAGGCACGAAAGCGUGGGGAGCAAACAGG
rnacentral:rRNA from 1 species